rnacentral:rRNA from 1 species
GACAUCCACGGAAGUUUUCAGAGAUGAGAAUGUGCCUUCGGGAACCGUGAGACAGGUGCUGCAUGGCUGUCGUCAGCUCGUGUUGUGAAAUGUUGGGUUAAGUCCCGCAACGAGCGCAACCCUUAUCCUUUGUUGCCAGCGGUCCGGCCGGGAACUCAAAGGAGACUGCCAGUGAUAAACUGGAGGAAGGUGGGGAUGACGUCAAGUCAUCAUGGCCCUUACGACCAGGGCUACACACGUGCUACAAUGGCGCAUACAAAGAGAAGCGACCUCGCGAGAGCAAGCGGACCUCAUAAAGUGCGUCGUAGUCCGGACUGGAGUCUGCAACUCGACUCCAUGAAGUCGGAAUCGCUAGUAAUCGUGGAUCAGAAUGCCACGGUGAAUACGUUCCCGGGCCUUGUACACACCGCCCGUCACACCAUGGGAGUGGGUUGCAAAAGAAGUAGGUAGCUUAACCUUCGGGAGGGCGCUUACCACUUUGUGAUUCAUGACUGGGGUGAAGUCGUAACAAGGUAACCGUAGGGGAACCUGCGGUUGGA